rnacentral:rRNA from 1 species
AGCGCAUACGGUGGAUGCCUUGGCAGUCAGAGGCGAUGAAAGACGUGGUAGCCUGCGAUAAGCUUCGGGGAGUCGGCAAACAGACUUUGAUCCGGAGAUCUCUGAAUGGGGGAACCCACCUAGGAUAACCUAGGUAUCUUGUACUGAAUCCAUAGGUGCAAGAGGCGAACCAGGGGAACUGAAACAUCUAAGUACCCUGAGGAAAAGAAAUCAACCGAGAUUCCCUUAGUAGUGGCGAGCGAACGGGGAUUAGCCCUUAAGCUUCAUUGAUUUUAGCGGAACGCUCUGGAAAGUGCGGCCAUAGUGGGUGAUAGCCCCGUACGCGAAAGGAUCUUUGAAGUGAAAUCGAGUAGGACGGAGCACGAGAAACUUUGUCUGAACAUGGGGGGACCAUCCUCCAAGGCUAAAUACUACUGACUGACCGAUAGUGAACCAGUACCGUGAGGGAAAGGCGAAAAGAACCCCGGAGAGGGGAGUGAAAUAGAACCUGAAACCGUAUGCGUACAAGCAGUGGGAGCCUACUUGUUAGGUGACUGCGUACCUUUUGUAUAAUGGGUCAGCGACUUAUAUUCAGUGGCGAGCUUAACCGAAUAGGGUAGGCGUAGCGAAAGCGAGUCUUAAUAGGGCGUUUAGUCGCUGGGUAUAGACCCGAAACCGGGCGAUCUAUCCAUGAGCAGGUUGAAGGUUAGGUAACACUGACUGGAGGACCGAACCCACUCCCGUUGAAAAGGUAGGGGAUGACUUGUGGAUCGGAGUGAAAGGCUAAUCAAGCUCGGAGAUAGCUGGUUCUCCUCGAAAGCUAUUUAGGUAGCGCCUCAUGUAUCACUCUGGGGGGUAGAGCACUGUUUCGGCUAGGGGGUCAUCCCGACUUACCAAACCGAUGCAAACUCCGAAUACCCAGAAGUGCCGAGCAUGGGAGACACACGGCGGGUGCUAACGUCCGUCGUGAAAAGGGAAACAACCCAGACCGCCAGCUAAGGUCCCAAAGUUGUGGUUAAGUGGUAAACGAUGUGGGAAGGCUUAGACAGCUAGGAGGUUGGCUUAGAAGCAGCCAUCCUUUAAAGAAAGCGUAAUAGCUCACUAGUCGAGUCGGCCUGCGCGGAAGAUGUAACGGGGCUCAAACCACACACCGAAGCUGCGGGUGUCACGUAAGUGACGCGGUAGAGGAGCGUUCUGUAAGCCUGUGAAGGUGAGUUGAGAAGCUUGCUGGAGGUAUCAGAAGUGCGAAUGCUGACAUGAGUAACGACAAUGGGUGUGAAAAACACCCACGCCGAAAGACCAAGGGUUCCUGCGCAACGUUAAUCGACGCAGGGUUAGUCGGUUCCUAAGGCGAGGCUGAAAAGCGUAGUCGAUGGGAAACAGGUUAAUAUUCCUGUACUUCUGGUUACUGCGAUGGAGGGACGGAGAAGGCUAGGCCAGCUUGGCGUUGGUUGUCCAAGUUUAAGGUGGUAGGCUGAAAUCUUAGGUAAAUCCGGGGUUUCAAGGCCGAGAGCUGAUGACGAGUCGUCUUUUAGAUGACGAAGUGGUUGAUGCCAUGCUUCCAAGAAAAGCUUCUAAGCUUCAGGUAACCAGGAACCGUACCCCAAACCGACACAGGUGGUCGGGUAGAGAAUACCAAGGCGCUUGAGAGAACUCGGGUGAAGGAACUAGGCAAAAUGGCACCGUAACUUCGGGAGAAGGUGCGCCGGCUAGGGUGAAGGAUUUACUCCGUAAGCUCUGGCUGGUCGAAGAUACCAGGCCGCUGCGACUGUUUAUUAAAAACACAGCACUCUGCAAACACGAAAGUGGACGUAUAGGGUGUGACGCCUGCCCGGUGCCGGAAGGUUAAUUGAUGGGGUUAGCGCAAGCGAAGCUCUUGAUCGAAGCCCCGGUAAACGGCGGCCGUAACUAUAACGGUCCUAAGGUAGCGAAAUUCCUUGUCGGGUAAGUUCCGACCUGCACGAAUGGCGUAACGAUGGCGGCGCUGUCUCCACCCGAGACUCAGUGAAAUUGAAAUCGCUGUGAAGAUGCAGUGUAUCCGCGGCUAGACGGAAAGACCCCGUGAACCUUUACUGUAGCUUUGCACUGGACUUUGAGCCUGCUUGUGUAGGAUAGGUGGGAGGCUUUGAAGCGUGGACGCCAGUUCGCGUGGAGCCAUCCUUGAAAUACCACCCUGGCAUGCUUGAGGUUCUAACUCUGGUCCGUGAUCCGGAUCGAGGACAGUGUAUGGUGGGCAGUUUGACUGGGGCGGUCUCCUCCUAAAGAGUAACGGAGGAGUACGAAGGUGCGCUCAGACCGGUCGGAAAUCGGUCGCAGAGUAUAAAGGCAAAAGCGCGCUUGACUGCGAGACAGACACGUCGAGCAGGUACGAAAGUAGGUCUUAGUGAUCCGGUGGUUCUGUAUGGAAGGGCCAUCGCUCAACGGAUAAAAGGUACUCCGGGGAUAACAGGCUGAUACCGCCCAAGAGUUCAUAUCGACGGCGGUGUUUGGCACCUCGAUGUCGGCUCAUCACAUCCUGGGGCUGAAGCCGGUCCCAAGGGUAUGGCUGUUCGCCAUUUAAAGUGGUACGCGAGCUGGGUUUAGAACGUCGUGAGACAGUUCGGUCCCUAUCUGCCGUGGACGUUUGAGAUUUGAGAGGGGCUGCUCCUAGUACGAGAGGACCGGAGUGGACGAACCUCUGGUGUUCCGGUUGUCACGCCAGUGGCAUUGCCGGGUAGCUAUGUUCGGAAAAGAUAACCGCUGAAAGCAUCUAAGCGGGAAACUUGCCUCAAGAUGAGAUCUCACUGGGAACUUGAUUCCCCUGAAGGGCCGUCGAAGACUACGACGUUGAUAGGCUGGGUGUGUAAGCGUUGU